CCUACGGGGGGUAGCAGUAGGGAAUCUUCCACAAUGGGCGAAAGCCUGAUGGAGCAACGCCGCGUGGGUGAAGAAGGUCUUCGGAGCGUAAAACUCUGUUGUUAGAGAAGAAAGUGCGUGAGAGUAACUGUUCACGUUUCGACGGUAUCUAACCAGAAAGCGACGGCUAACUACGUGCCAGCAGCCGCGGUAAUACGUAGGUGGCAAGCGUUAUCCGGAUUUAGUGGGCGUAAAGGGAACGCAGGCGGUCUUUUAAGUCUGAUGUGAAAGCCUUCGGCUUAACCGUAGUAGUGCAGUGGAAACUGGAGGCCUUGAGUGCAGAUGAGGAGAGUGGAACUCAAUGUGUAGCGGUGAAAUGCGUAGAUAUAUGGAAGAACACCAGUGGCGAAAGCGGCUGUCUGGUCUGUAACUGACGCUGAGGUUCGAAAGCGUGGGUAGCAAACAGGAUUAGAUACCCCAGUAGUC
rnacentral:rRNA from 1 species